CACGUAGGGCGCAAGCGUUGUCCGGAAUUAUUGGGCGUAAAGAGCUCGUAGGCGGUUUGGCGCGUCUGCUGUGAAAACUCGGGGCUUAACUCCGGGCCUGCAGUGGGUACGGGCAGACUAGAGUGCGGUAGGGGAGACUGGAAUUCCUGGUGUAGCGGUGAAAUGCGCAGAUAUCAGGAGGAACACCGGUGGCGAAGGCGGGUCUCUGGGCCAUAACUGACGCUGAGGAGCGAAAGCGUGGGGAGCGAACAGG
rnacentral:rRNA from 1 species